GAACGCAAAUUGCACUCGAGGCUCCGGCCAAGAGUAUGUCUGCCUCAGCGUCGGCUUUACCCUCACCCCCCAAUCGGGAGGCGUGGACCUGGCAGUCCCGGUCGGCAACGACCGGGUCCGCUGAAGACCAGAGGCUCGAACAAGGACCCACAUGGGAAAACAGUCUGGUAGGUGACCCGACAGGGGCGCAUGCCGCUGUUCGCCCGGAACCUUGUUGGAAGCCGGCAGGAAUCGUCGGUCGCCCUUAGCGGGGCGGCCGUGCGAACACCCUUUUCGACCUGAGAUCAGGCAAGAACACCCGCUGAACUUAAG
rnacentral:misc_RNA from 1 species